rnacentral:rRNA from 1 species
CACGACGUUGUAAAACGACGGCUGUAACUAUAACGGUCCUAAGGUAGCAAAUUUCCUUGUCGUCCUAAUAACGACCUGCAUGAAACAUAGAACGAUUCGAUAGCUGUCUUGCACACACAUCAUGGUAAAAUAUUCAUCAGUACAAAUAAUAUGCUGCCGAAGUCGAGUGACACUAAAGGACAAAAAGACCCUCUGAAGCUUUAUAGGGAUAAAACUUGGGUAACAUCGCGAUCUAAAUUAUCUUAUAAAUGCUACCUUACAUAGAAUCGGGAGUACGGCAGACGUUAUUCUCCCAGCUAAAGUGGUGGAGAUCGCAGGAACUAAAACGAUAUAAAUGGUAGACGUUAUUCUAUAGACCACUGUUUAAUUGGGGCGAUAACCUUAUCCACAGCCACCUAAGGUGAACAAAGCGAUACAAGGAUCCUAAAUACUAAUUUGACCAACUAAUAAGUGCAAAGAUACAUGUUUCGCUUAAUGGCCCAACAAGUCCUUCCCAGUACUUAAAUGCUAUCUUAAUGAGCUUUAAAUUAAUCUACCCGAGUGAAGCUACUCUACGGAUAACAGGCUUAAUUUCCGCAAUACCCAAGGUCACAUUAUCAAGAAAAAUGCACAUCGAUGUCGGCUUAUCAUCCCAAAAUAGGUAGCUAAAUAAUUGGUGGGAGUGCUCAUCCCGUAAA